rnacentral:lncRNA from 1 species
UAUAUAUAUGCUCACAAAGUGUACUGAUAUGAUUUUUAGAACAAUCUAUCAGCUGCGUAUACUCUACAGGCUUUUGGCAUGUGUCCAAAAUCAACUGAGUGACUUUCAUUCUGUCUGGUUGCCUGAUAUGCCAUAGCCCAUGUCUCAAAGUGUAAAAAUUCUUAGUGUUAAGAGUUGAACUAUCAUUACAACACUCCGAAUGACAAUUUUCCUUUUGUUUCAUGAUGAAAGUAUAUAUGUUGAGUUUAGACUGGGCAAUUAAAUUUUUUGUUGAAGUUGCAAGAUUAAUAAUUCCAGAUCUUUUAUAUCACUAAUGAAGGUUGCCUUUGCACGAGUAGAGCACAAUUCUGCAAUUUGGUGCAUACAGACACUAACCAUAGUACUUAUCUUUUAAAAGAAAAAAGUUUAUUUGAUUAAAGUGCACAUUUUCGUCUCUUUCCGAUUUUAUGCUCUGUUUACUUCUAAUUUCCUUUUCCAUGUUGGUUAUUUUGAUUACGUUGUUGGCCAUUUUGUCAAUAUUAUGCCGUACUUGUGUACCUUGGCUUCUUAAACUGAUAGUGUCUAUCCUCACAAGUCACAGGUAAUACUUUAAUCAAGUGACCAUCACCUCUUAGGUGCUGUCUCCCUAUGUUUUGAUGUGGUAUUUACCAAGAUUUGUGCAGACCAACUAACUUUAUCAAUUGGCAUCUGGGCUUUCUGCUUCCUAGUUGCUUGGCUAUGCUUCAAUGACCAAUUGCAUCUGGCAUCUGGGCUUUUUUAAUCAAGUGACCAAUUGCAUAAUGUGUUGCAACUUGCAUCUAGCUGGCGUAUUCUUAUUUGAUUUUGUCCCAAUAGAUAUUAUGCUCCAUCAAUAAUGCGAUAAAGAUGUCGUUUUGGUAAAAACUGAUAAUCAUGUAAAAGAGACUUGGUGGACUAUAUAUUUGGUGGACACUUUCCAUUCUGGUGUGGACCAUCCAUGUUUGCCAAUAGUUACUAAGUUGAUUGCAACUAGAGUUAGACAGAGUGUGAAGCUAAUGAAUGCUUAAAUGUUCAAGUGUUCAUCGGUGGUUGAGGAAUGACAAGACUUUUGAGUGAUGAUACAGUGCAACUAGUGUGUGUUUGACAUGAAUAGGGUAUUUAAUUUGUGACAAGGACGUACUUGUCAAUAGUUUAUCUCAAGCACAUUGACCUUCAAAUUUUGAAAUUUCGCUGGACUAUUGAUGUGUUUGGAUAAUUGGAAGCCACACACUAGUAUUACAGAGUUUAGCAUAAUCAGAAUCAACUCCAUUUUUUUUUGGCAAUAUAUGCUUAAUUAGGUGAUUUUUUUUUUGAAUAAGUAUGCUAUGCAGUUUGCUUAUCGCAGCUUUUUUCUUUCUUUCUUAAUAUGGCGCAUUGCCAUGUAAUUCUUUUGUAGUUGAGAUUGACAUUAUCAUCUUAAUUAGAUAUAGUUGGCCUGUUUGAUACUAGAAAUCAGUUUUACUUAAAAAACGAAUGAUACUCAUAGGAGGUCAAAAUGAAGCCAGUUUGAUAUUUUAUUCUGCGACUUGCUCAUGUCAUUUAUUUAAUCCAAUUACAUUGAUAUAUGCUCACAAGGUAAUUUUGCUGGUGACCACACUACUAAUCUUCAAGCCGAUUCCUGCUUUAGUAUGUUUUGGAGUUCUGCUGCAGUGGUUCUCACAUGAUAUUCCAAAUGAGGUAAUCAUAAAAGAUUUCUCGUAGUCUAUCACAGUACACCUGCCAUAGUUUCUGUGGAGUUAUAAUAGAGUUGAGUCUUGCUAUAUAUAUGAUGAAGGAAUUGAGAACGGUCUCACCCUAAUUUAUUCUAUCUUAUCAUUUAGACUUCCACGUUAGUUGCAAUUCAACUUCGUCAUAUAUUUGUUGACAUAUAAAUCAUUUCCCAGUGGAGUUUUUUUUUCCAUCCCAGAUUGGAUAUAAAGGAGUUAUGUUGUGGUCAAAUAGCGCUAAUCUGAUUAGUUUGAUAGUCCAUGAUAUCUUUUCAAAAUUGCAAAUUUCAGAUUUUGUUUAAUGGGCUUUCUGUACUUUGUGGAACAGGUGUUCAAGAGCGCAAAGCAGGUCGACUAAGCAGCGAACUCUUAGUUCAUUGUACACAAAGCUCAACCCUCACCUAUAUACAUAUAUGCAUAUACUUCCGACGAAUUGAGUCAAUGAGUAAUCACCAAGUAAGACUAUAUAAAUUAGAGCAUGAUGGAUAUGUAUUAGUACAAGUAGUAUGAUCUAUAUGUGCCAAUGUAUCUUUUAUAUUUGUUUCUGGUUAUGGAGCAAUUACCUACCUACCCUGUAAAAUAGUGUUUCAUAAUGUACUUCAUGUCAUAUCUUUUAUUCUUUCUAUACAUUCUUGCUAGCC